GACGAACGCUGGCGGCGUGCUUAACACGUGCAAGUCGAACGGAAAGGCCCUGCUUUUGUGGGGUGCUCGAGUGGCGAACGGGUGAGUAACACGUGAGUAACCUGCCCUUGACUUUGGGAUAACUUCAGGAAACUGGGGCUAAUACCGGAUAGGAGCUCCUGCUGCAUGGUGGGGGUUGGAAAGUUUCGGCGGUUGGGGAUGGACUCGCGGCUUAUCAGCUUGUUGGUGGGGUAGUGGCUUACCAAGGCUUUGACGGGUAGCCGGCCUGAGAGGGUGACCGGCCACAUUGGGACUGAGAUACGGCCCAGACUCCUACGGGAGGCAGCAGUGGGGAAUAUUGCACAAUGGGCGGAAGCCUGAUGCAGCAACGCCGCGUGCGGGAUGACGGCCUUCGGGUUGUAAACCGCUUUCGCCUGUGACGAAGCGUGAGUGACGGUAAUGGGUAAAGAAGCACCGGCUAACUACGUGCCAGCAGCCGCGGUGAUACGUAGGGUGCGAGCGUUGUCCGGAUUUAUUGGGCGUAAAGGGCUCGUAGGUGGUUGAUCGCGUCGGAAGUGUAAUCUUGGGGCUUAACCCUGAGCGUGCUUUCGAUACGGGUUGACUUGAGGAAGGCAGGGGAGAAUGGAAUUCCUGGUGGAGCGGUGGAAUGCGCAGAUAUCAGGAGGAACACCAGUGGCGAAGGCGGUUCUCUGGGCCUUUCCUGACGCUGAGGAGCGAAAGCGUGGGGAGCGAACAGGCUUAGAUACCCUGGUAGUCCACGCUGUAAACGGUGGGUACUAGGUGUGGGGUCCAUUCCACGGGUUCCGUGCCGUAGCUAACGCUUUAAGUACCCCGCCUGGGGAGUACGGCCGCAAGGCUAAAACUCAAAGGAAUUGACGGGGCCCCGCACAAGCGGCGGAGCAUGCGGAUUAAUUCGAUGCAACGCGUAGAACCUUACCUGGGUUUGACAUGAAUCGGGAGUGCUCAGAGAUGGGUGUGCCUCUUUUGGGGUCGGUUCACAGGUGGUGCAUGGCUGUCGUCAGCUCGUGUCGUGAGAUGUUGGGUUAAGUCCCGCAACGAGCGCAACCCUUGUUCACUGUUGCCAGCACGUUAUGGUGGGGACUCAGUGGAGACCGCCGGGGUCAACUCGGAGGAAGGUGGGGAUGACGUCAAGUCAUCAUGCCCCUUAUGUCCAGGGCUUCACGCAUGCUACAAUGGCUGGUACAGAGAGUGGCGAGCCUGUGAGGGUGAGCGAAUCUCGGAAAGCCGGUCUCAGUUCGGAUUGGGGUCUGCAACUCGACCUCAUGAAGUCGGAGUCGCUAGUAAUCGCAGAUCAGCAACGCUGCGGUGAAUACGUUCCCGGGGCU
rnacentral:rRNA from 1 species